rnacentral:rRNA from 1 species
GAAUAUUCCACAAUGCGCGAAAGCGUGAUGGAGCAAUGCCGCGUGCGGGAUGAAGCCCCUCGGGGUGUAAACCGCUGUCAGGGUUCAGAAAUUCUGAUCAGACCCAAAGGAAGAGGCGGCUAACUCUGUGCCAGCAGCCGCGGUAAUACAGAGGCCUCGAGCGUUGCGCGGAAUCACUGGGCUUAAAGGGUGCGUAGGCCGAUAUGCAAGUGCUUUGUGAAGUCCCAGAGCUUAACUCUGGAACUGCUUGGCAGACUGCAUGUCUUGAGGUCGGUAGGGGUUGCUGGAACGGUUGGUGGAGCGGUGAAAUGCGUAGAUAUCAACCGGAACGCCAAAGGUGAAGACAAGCAACUGGGCCGAUUCUGACGCUGAGGCACGAAAGCGUGGGGAGCAAACGGGA